ACCCUCUCAGGAUUGCACCUGGAGAGUUUCCAGUAUUCUACCAGUCUCAACUAUGGGAGGGAGAGUCAGGCAGAGGCACAUCCAUUCCAUUCCUUGCUUGAGCAGUGGCUAGUAAGUGGAAAGCCAUCUGCUACAAGU